rnacentral:lncRNA from 1 species
CCCUAACCCACCCCGUGCGUCUCUCUUCUUUCCCUCUCCCUCUGUCUACCGCGCGCGCCCGCCGCUACCUGCCAGCCGCACGCCCGCCGCCAGCGCCCCGCCGCAACCCCGCGCGCCGGCUCGAGUACUUCGCUGUCCGCUCCCAUUCAACUCCGGCCCAGCUGCGUGCUGCUCCGGCACCGGCAGGCGGAUAAGCCCAGCAGGCAAGCAGGCAGGAGACUAGGAGAGGAGGAGAGCUCAGCACUGCACGCGCGCUCCCCUCCCCUUGUUGGCCAAAUCGAUCGGUCCCCUUCAGGCUUAAGGCUUCGGAGCUUGCUUUACUUCAGUUGGCAGGUGUAUUUUCAGGGGAUGUUGCUUGAGCCCAAAUGGAUGACAGCAGAAGUGUGAUCUGACGUGCGCUCAGCUUCACCAACACACUGAUUCUUGAAUGCAUUAAGCAUAGUGCACAAGCAGUUAUUCAUGAUAAGAAAUCUUUUGCUCAAAUACAUAGAAGGUGCUCUCAAAGACAUCGAAGGUCUUCCUUUACCGUUUCGUCAUCUGCAAUGUGCUUAUAGUAUGAGAGUUGCCUGCUAAUUCCUCUAAAUAUAGCAUUAGUUCAGCUUGUAGCUUCAUAUUACAUCAGGUAAUGGAUGGCAUCAGAACUAUUCUCUGUAAUGAUGGUAUAAGAGCUCACUUGCUAAUUCUUCUGAACAUUCCCUGGGUUCAGCUUGUAACUUUAGUUAGAUCAAUGGAUAUCAUCUAAACUAUUCUUUUCUUUUUUUCUUUUGAAACAGGGCAUAUCUACUUAGUACCUGCAUUUUUUUGUUGCUUGUUGAUGAUACUAAUACUGUCUGAUAUAACUAGUUGCUUUUUCUCUCUUUGGUAAGAAUCUGCAAUUAAAUUUGACAUCCAUUGGUUAUAUAUUUUUUCCUUGUUCAGUUACCACACAUGUUGCCAUCUGAAAAGGCAUUUUCAGCUGUUGUAUCUGCUCUUGGCAUCUACAACAAAGACGGGAUAGUAGUUUAUGAUGGAAAGGGGCUGUUCAGUGAUGCUCGUGUUUGGUGGUAAGCUUUUUUAUUCACAAAAAUAUGUAAAAGAAGGAGUUCAUCAAGCAGUUUGCUGAGAUUUCAUCAAUAAACCAACGAAUUUUGUUAUCCGGUCCAGCAGGUUCUGAGAUUUAUCAGGAAACAUUGGUAAAGGCACUUGCUAAACAUUUUGGUGCUAGACUUCUUGUCUUGGAUUCACUUUUGCUACCUUGGGAAGAGAGUGGCUCUUCACUCCCAUCGGAUUAACAAAAAGUGAGUCUCAUGUUUUCUUAUUUGUUUGACUCAUGUUGGUGUGAUAUUUUGCUAAACAGAUUUUGCAUAUCAUAGCGACGUUUGUCAUUUUGUAUCUAUACAUUUAUGCUAAUUUUUAACUCUCGUGGCAACGCAUGGGUACGUACCUAGUAAAUAUCUGUAAUGUUAGAAUCUAGUAUUUCCAUCACUUGCCAUUCCUCAAAUAUAAAUAUAUUGCAUCUAUUAUAUGGC